rnacentral:lncRNA from 13 species
AAAAGACCAAAGUCAUGAAACAGCAAAUCUAAUACUACCGAGACAGAGCUGUGAGUCAGAUAACAAGCCUUCCUUCCGCAAGUCAGCAGGAAAGGAGGAAAACAGCCAAAUAAUGAAUAUAUUUAAAUCAUUAUGGAAAAGGUGAUACAAAUCCCAAUCUAUCAUACAAUGAUCAUUCCAAGGAAGAAAAACAGCAAACAAAAACACCCCAAAGAAAUUAUAAAAUAACAAAACAUAACUUCCGUAAAAAUUGUGAAGUAAUUUUCUGCUAUGUGCACUCUCUUCCAAAUACCAACAAAAAAUAAAGUAUAAUGAGAGAAAAUAAGAAGUACACAGGUGGAACUCUACAUAAAUGAACAACAGAGGAAAUACAAAUACCAAGUGUAAGUAGUUUUCAUGUUAGAAGCAGGGAGUGAAAGCUCCUGAAGAGUAAAGGGGAACAAAACGCUGCAUUCAGGACACUCGUCCUUUCAACCCAGAUUUAUGGAGCCAGGCACUGCAUCAUAAUUGCGGAUACAUCAGCGAACCAAACAAAUUCCUCUGAUUGGAGGCUUAUAUUCUAGUGAGAAGACAAGCUCAGUAUAGCAAGUCAUGGGCUGAGUGUAACUUACCUGCUGCCUAGUGCAAUUAUGGAAACUUUUAUGAGUAACUAAUCGGAAGCGGGAGGAAAUAAAGCUAACAGGUUGGCUCAAUAUAUGGGUGAAAACCAACGAUGGACAGCACCUUCUCUGCCGCCCAACUCAGGGUCGGCUAAGAAGGAAAACCUGUAGUCCAGUAAGUCCUCCCAAUGGGCAAAGCCUCAAGCGGUGAGUCUGAUCAUUCAACUCAGAGAGCAAAACCUAAGAGGCUAGGAAGACUAAUAUCAAGAUGCCAGCAUCUGGUGAGGGCCUUCGUGCUGUGUCAUCCCAUAGGAAAGGCAGAAGAGCAAGAGAGGUAAGAAUAGAUCAAACUCACAUCCUUAAUUGCUUUUAUAAUUGGCAUUGAUCUACUUAUGAAGGUGGGACUCUCAUGCCCUCCAGAGCUCCCUUUAGGCCUUACCUCCUAACACUGUUGCUUUAGGGAUUAAGUUUCCAACACCUGCUUUUGGGGGACACGUUUCAACAGUAUUACACGCUAUACCAAACAAACAAAAACUUGUGGAAGUCACAGGCCAGAGACAUUGGCUUACUAAAGGGCUGAGAUGUUGUUGGAAUUUUACAGGAUAAUCUUUCUCUUCCAUAUUUAUUCCACAAUAGGCAUCCCAUAUAAUAAGAGUAGAUUACAGCAAAAAGGGCUGCAAGACACAGAUUUUCUCUGAAUAGGAGUACUUAGAGAUGCCCAAAGUCAAGAAGGAAAUGAAAUUUGCAAUAUCUGGUAAAUAAAGCUACAGAAAACCUGAAGCCCA